CAAUGGGGGAACCCUGNAUGCAGCGACGCCGCGUGAAGGAAGAAGUAUCUCGUUCACACUNAAACUUCNGNNANANAGGGNAAGAUAGUGACGGUACCUGNACUUNUCAAGCCCCGGCUAACUACGUGCCAGCAGCCGCGGUAAUACGUAGGGGGCAAGCGUUAUCCGGAUUUACUGGGUGUAAAGGGAGCGUAGACGGUGUGGCAAGUCUGAUGUGAAAGGCAUGGGCUCAACCUGUGGACUGCAUUGGAAACUGUCAUACUUGAGUGCCGGAGGGGUAAGCGGAAUUCCUAGUGUAGCGGUGAAAUGCGUAGAUAUUAGGAGGAACACCAGUGGCGAAGGCGGCUUACUGGACGGUAACUGACGUUGAGGCUCGAAAGCGUGGGGAGCAAACAGGAUUAGAUACCCUGGUAGUCCAAGGGCGAAUUC
rnacentral:rRNA from 1 species